UACGGAGGGUGCAAGCGUUAUCCGGAUUCACUGGGUUUAAAGGGUGCGUAGGAGGGCAGGUAAGUCAGUGGUGAAAUCUCCAAGCUUAACUUGGAAACUGCCGUUGAUACUAUCUGUCUUGAAUAUUGUGGAGGUGAGCGGAAUAUGUCAUGUAGCGGUGAAAUGCUUAGAUAUGACAUAGAACACCAAUUGCGAAGGCAGCUUACUACACAGUUAUUGACGCUGAGGCACGAAAGCGUGGGGAUCAAACAGG
rnacentral:rRNA from 1 species